rnacentral:rRNA from 1 species
AAAAACAUGUCCUUUUGUUUAUAAAUAUAAGGUCUGACCUGCCCAAUGAUUUUAUUGAAUGGCCGCGGUAUAUUAACUGUGCUAAGGUAGCAUAAUCAUUUGUCUUUUAAUUGAAGGCUAGAAUGAAUGGUUGGACGAGGUAUAUACUUUCUUUAGCUUAGUUGAUGAACUUAAUUUUUAAGUUAAAAAGCUUAAAUUUAUUUGAGGGACGAGAAGACCCUAUAGAUCUUUAUAUUUGCAAUUAUUAUAUAUUUUGGUUUAUUAAUUAUUUUAAUACUUGUAUUUAUUUGGUUGGGGUGACUGUAGAAUUUAAAUUAACUUCUAUUUUUAUUUAUUCAUUCAUUAGUGUUUAUUUGAUCCAGUUUUAUUGAUUAAAAGAUUAAGUUACCUUAGGGAUAACAGCGUAAUUUUUUCGGAGAGUUCAUAUCGAUGAAGGAGUUUGCGACCUCGAUGUUGGAUUAAAAUAAGUUUUGGGUGUAGGAGCUUAAAAACUAGGUCUGUUCGACCUUUAAUUUUUUACAUGAUCUGAGUU